GGACUACCUCCCUCACCCACUCCUUUUGGAGAGCAUUGGUGGCCCAGUCACAUAUUUAAGCAACAUCACCAGGCCAGGAUUUGUGGCACACAAUAAACAUUUAUUACAAGAAUGAAUGAAGGCACACAAAUCUCAAGAACUGGAGCACAGAAUAAAUAGGCAUCUACGCCUGGAGAACACAGAUUUUUCUCCCAGCGCCCCUCCGAGGACCUCCCAUAGCAAAUGGAAGGAUCAGCCUCCUUCAGGAGACCAGAGACCUGCAGACCAGAACCAAGAGGCAAUUGAGUCAAAAUUGGUGGGUUCAGUUCCAAGAAUAGCGCCAAUAUUUUAAUGUAUAUUUCCUACAAAAGACUUUCUCUGACAUACAAUACAAUAUUAAAUCAGGACAUUAACCCAUAUAUGUUACUAUCAUCUAAUCCCCACAC